AUGCUCAGUUUGGCAACACAUGUACUAGAACUGGAACGAAGCAGAGGAAAGGAGCAUGGCCUCUAUGCAAGGAUGACACGCAAAUUCGUGCAGUGUUCCAUAUCAUU
rnacentral:snRNA from 1 species